rfam:Omnitrophica WOR_2 bacterium RIFOXYA2_FTLL_38_17 rifoxya2_full_scaffold_416, whole genome shotgun sequence.
GGAGAGGUGGCCGAGUGGUUGAAGGCGCACGCUUGGAAAGCGUGUGUAUAGAAAUGUACCGAGAGUUCGAAUCUCUCCCUCUCCG